CAGGCUUUUCUGGGUUUUCUCUUUAAGGAAAGUUUGGGGAGUAUCCAAGACUCUGAACCUUGCACAACCCAGCUUGUGAGGGCUGGCCAGCAGUGCUCCCACCAUUCUUCCUGUUCCUGCACUCACUGCAAAAAGCUGGGCCUCCUCCCAGUGCUUUCCAGAGAAGCUUGUCUUAUUUGAUCUGGAAUCACGUGGGUGGUCCAUUUCAGAAUGCAAAUAAAAAGAAACGUGAAUGGAAACCCAUCUUCCUGGGAUAGGGUGCCGCCAACUCUGGGCCGUGUCACCCUGAGGUCCAGGCCACUGCUGAAGCGAGCUGGAUGAAUUUACAUGAGAAGCCCAAGGAAACUGUUUCCCCAAAUGCAAAGUUAGAGAGACUUAGUGUGCUUGACCAGAUCAGUCCUGACCAGGGCCCUGUGGUAACGAAACUCCUAAAACUUAAAAAAGCAAGCAAACAAACAAAAACGGUUGAGAGAAGGGCUCAACCAUCAGGAGGCUAAUUUCAGUCCGUCCAUGGCUUGUGCUGAGAUGUAAAAAGUCCCUCCAGACCCUACCAUUCUGUCUCUCAGAAGGUGCUAAGGGAGGCAAGGGGCUGAAGCUAGGACUCACAACACUGAGUGGUGACCUUGGAAACCCAGAAGGGUGCCUUCUUGGCCAAGCUUAGUGCUCAAGGAGUGCAAAACCCUUGAUGAUGCACUAGAUUUUGCACAAAGGGCAUGAGUUUUAAUUUCAAAAUGCAGGCUUGGGUAUCGUAGAGUGAAAGCAAACAGGGACACACGACGUGCAUUUUCAAUACUCCUACUUAGUGAAAGCUGGUGAGAACAUUUUCAUUCUUUUUAAACAAAGGCAAGCAGUUCAACUACUUUCUGGGUGUCCAUCCACCUCAAGGUAGAGAAUCUCAGUCCCUCAUGAGGGAGGGAACUAUUCCUUAAGCCCCGAAAACAGCAAGGGCUGAGGGCGGGGCUCUAUCACCUGGCCACUACUAUGCAACAUAUACACUUUCUCCCCGGGCCAUCAUGGAUUCCAAAGGCAAUAUAAGAUCCUCACAAAGACAGGGAGUUCUUAUCUUGUGAGUUAUUUAAGCAAUAUGAUGAGCAAAGUCUUUCAGAUCAUUUGCAAUGUUAUUCUUGGAUAACUUGAUGUUUGUUCAUCAGCCUUAAUAACUUUAUUAUAUGAACUCCUGGCAUUCAUGAAAUGGUGCGUGACCUCCUAACCGGUGGUAUGACCAAUUAUUUCAUUCACGCCACGAACUUUUAUUGACCACCUACUACAGGCCAGGAGCUACACUAGGGUCUGGCAAUAUAAUGAUAGAAGACAGGUCCCUGACCUCAAGAUACCUAAUAGAUAUUAAGAGAUAAUAGAAAAAAUAUAUAUUGGUCUCUGCCCCGGCUCCUGACGCAAGGCUCCCGAAACCUUUGUAAUUUCCUAAGUGAUAAGAACACUAGGAACUUCCUUUGUUGUAAUAUUUGGUCGUUGACUUGAGCUACUGACAUAGGAUUUCUGAAACCCUUGUAUUUCCUCGGUUAAUAAUAGUGUCUUUUUUUCUCCGUGGGGUCCUGGAUGGCUCCUGGAUGAGAGCUGGUAUUGGAAAGAGCAAGCUGUGAUUAGAAACUUGGAAUUUUCAGCCCUUCCCCUCCCCCAUUCUCUUGAGAUGGAAGAAGGCUGAAAGUAGAAUUAGUGACUGAUUAUGCCUAUAUUAUGAAGCCUCCACAAAAUCCCAGUAAGAUGGGAUUUGGGGAGCUACUCCAUUGGCAAACACAUCCACCCUGGGAGGGUGGUGAACCUCCAACUCCAAAGGACAGAAGCUCCUGCACUCAGGACCCUCCCAGACCUCGCCCUAUGUAUCUAUUCAUCUACAUCCUUUAUUUAUAUUUUAAUAAACUGAUAAAUGUG